CCGAUUUCUGAUUCUGAUAUGGUUGCUUAUAUUCUUGCUGGUCUUCCUGAUGAGUAUGAAUCGUUUGUUGAUUCGAUUGAAACAAGAAUUGAGUCUGUGAAUGGUGAUGAACUCCAUGGCCUCUUACUCAGCAAGGAGAUC